rnacentral:tRNA from 1 species
GGCACGGUACGCAAACGGGCAAAGCGGCGAAGCUCAAACCUUCGUGUCUGCGGGUUCGACUCCCGCCUGUGCCA